GCCAUAGCUCAGUGGUAGAAUACCUGCUUGGCAUGCAGAAGAUCCCAGGUUCCAUCCCCACUAUCUCCA
rnacentral:tRNA from 1 species